UACGAAGGGGGCUAGCGUUGCUCGGAAUGACUGGGCGUAAAGGGCGCGUAGGCGGCUUAUCAAGUCAGGUGUGAAAGCCUUGGGCUUAACCCAAGAAUUGCGCUUGAUACUGAUAAGCUAGAGGAUGAUAGAGGAAAGCGGAAUUCCUAGUGUAGAGGUGAAAUUCGUAGAUAUUAGGAAGAACACCAGAGGCGAAGGCGGCUUUCUGGAUCAUAUCUGACGCUGAGGCGCGAAAGCGUGGGGAGCAAACAGG
rnacentral:rRNA from 1 species